CACCAGGUGCCGGGCAGAGGGGCAGAUCACCGUCUGACACCACGCUAUGAAGAGGUGGAACGCCAGUAUGCCUCCUUACCGAGACGAGGUCCGUUAGAUGCAGCUGACUACCCCAUGCAGCCAUGGUCAGGUCCCUACCCCGGGCCUCCACACGCCCAGCAGGGAUACCCCCAGGCACCAUCCUACCCCACCUCCCAGUCUGCCCCAUCUUACCCCAACUACCCACCUGGUCAGCCAUACCCACGGCAAGGAGACCCUCGAGGCAUUGACCCUGGCUACUACCCCCACCCUAGCUCUCAGCAGAGAGGGCCCCUGCGGCAGGAUGUGCCCCCAUCUCCCACCCCGCCUCUUCGGGGACUGCGGUACGACACGAUGACACGUGGAACUGGGGGUGGGGGUUACAGGUAGGGCCGAUUUGUGGAUGGAGACCAUUCCAGGCACCAGUGGGAGCUCGGUACAGACCAGCGUGGCUUUACUCGGGAGGGAGGAGGACGGCAACAGCAAACAAACCCAAAGCAGAAGACGGCGUGACUGCAGCUGUGCAGACACAUCGAGUCCUGACAUGACAAUAAGCACAAAGUCACGUCUUCGUAUUCUGAGUUUUCCUGCGUUCAGCUCUCCACUGAAGCAGAGUUGAAACCUCAUAAUGCGAUGAUCCGAAUCCUCGUCAUUAUCAAACCGUGUGUGUGUUGGUAGGGGUGUACGGUAAGGUAAAGGAGGUUAAUUACAGAGUAGAGGAAGCGUAAUGUCUUGUUGUUUGAAGUCAUUUAAAUUGCUUUGAAUCUUCGGAAAGUUUAAAAUGAGCAGGUUUUUACUUUUCACUGUAUUCUGAUUAAGUUGUCUCCUGUAAGAAUCUGUCAGGGCUGCAGAGGUAAUUGGAUCCAUUUAAAUUAAGCUCACAUUCACAGCCGCUGCUGCAGCAGGAUAAAGAACAAUAUCCACAAAUGCAACCUAAAGUAACGCACUAACACUGACUGUAGAUGGAGGUUCAUGCAGAUAUGAAUAACUCUUUAUUAUGUUUGUGUAAUGAAAGCGUAUUUAUUCUCGAGAUCCGACCGUUUAUGUAGGCAAAGAUGGGACUGCAGCGCCUCCGCUUUUCCAAAACAUUCCUCCUUUCCUCUCUUAGUAAUGGCUGCUGGAACACAUUACAGCGCUCCAAUCAGCACUCUGGAACGCUUUAUUCCUCCAGAUAAACAAAAAAACUCGUUUAGAGGCCGGCCGAUGUCUGAAGUGACCAAUCAGGGAUCAUGCCACUAAUACCAGCACAGAUUUCAUCCUUAUGAGUAAUCUGAUCAUAUCCUGUAUUAUCAAAAAGAUUUGAUAAUACAGAGUUAUUGAUACGUGUGAAUCACACUGAAGACCACUAUAUGAAUGAUCUGUCCUCGCUGUUCGGUGCAGGACGAGGCGGAGCCCACGUCUGCUCCGUGGUUUGCUCCACGUUUGUUUGACCCUGUUGCUGCGUUUCGAAGCAGCUUAAGAAGUACGAAAUCUCAUUUUAGCAGAAUUGGAAAUUAUCUAUGGAUGGUCGCUUUGUUUAAAAAGACCUCCACAUGAAUGUAUGAUGAGCUUACGUUUUACAGACACGUCCACCUGUGUGGAGUGAUUUGAUUUUCCGACUUCCUGCAAGAAGCUCCGGAAAAGGCAGGACGACAAUAACAAUCAAGGUAGCCGGGUGUUCCACAGGUGGAGCUGUUUUCAUUCUGCCUUCUUUUAAAGCGUCUCUGAUGUGUUGGAGCUGUUUGAGCUGCUUUUCCACACCGUCGAGUAAACCGGACAGAGAGGAUUUUCUUUUUUGGGCAGCUUUUUGCAGAGCGGGGAUAGAGGUCGCUUUCACUGUGUUACUCUGCACCGCGCGCUCUGCUUUGGAUUUGAAGGACGUUUCAGUGACCCGACGGUGUAGGCAUCACUGCUCGAACAUGAAGUGAGCUUCAGAGUGCUGUCAGCGCCGCACCAUAAUGCAGAUCCAUUUUGCCACUUAGCAAAAGUUAAGUGUGACUAAGAGUUAAAGCCUUGCAUAACAUCUGUGUUUCACACCACAAAGCUCAGCAGAAUUACUUUCAAUGGAGAUUAAAUGUCUAAAAUGACAUCUCGGUAUUGGGUGGACCGCGGUUCUCUCAGUGUGGCCGAGGCUGAAGGUCCGCUAACCUGAAUGUAACAUGUAGAUUUUAUCAGAAAGGUUUUUGUGUAUCAAGAGUUGGAUAAAGGGAGGUUAAGGAAAGGUAGAGAAAGAUGUGAGGAACAGGUAGAAAAGGAAAAGUGGGAAAUAAAGAGAGAAAUCCCAGGAAUGUGUAAUAUUUCAGACUAAAUAUGAAAAGGAAACGGUUGAAGAAAUGGUCCGAGAGGUAAAUGCAGUGCAAUUUGUGCAGCAUUAGUUGUGCUGUAGGAGUGAAUGUAGUGACUGUGUGAAGUUUUCAUAAUUAUUUCUCCUUUUGUGUUGUCACGUUUCACCAGUGUGAAAACCAGACUUGCAAAUCAAGUAAUAAAGCACAUUUCCGGAGACUGAUGAACAAAUCACCUGCCGAGUUUAGAGCAGAAACACUGAAACAACUCGCGUCCCCUCAGAUUACUUUCUCCUCGCUGAUGAUGAUGAUGUUACAGAGUGAGCAGCACCUGAGAAAAUGAUCCUUCUGAGAACAUGUGAAGGAUUUUCAUGCCAAACAUGUCAGGAGUCUCCCCGCUGUGUGUACCUGAAUGCUGGGUCAGCGCCUGGAGAAGCUUUUAAACAGUAUUUGAAAAACGUGACACGUUGCAUGAAGGCGUAUCUGUCUCAUUACACAGUUUUCACGUAUGUAACUCUUCACAAGCAUUUAUUUUUACGUUUCUUUUUUUAAUGCUAGUUGAUGAUGUUGAAUCGGACCAGAGCCACGGGAUGUUUGGCUUUUGUUGCCACGGGUACGCUGCAGAGCUUCGAUCGCUUUUUUCCUCCUCGUGUUGUUAAAACUGCACGAGCAGUUUUAAACUCGGCGCAGCGCGACUGACGCAUCGAGCGCCCUGCAGGGCUCUUUGGUCUUUAGCAAGUUGCACAAGUUGAAGGUACUCGCUAGAAUCUUCUGUACGAAGAGUUUCUGCUACUCCUGCUUCACCUUUUAAAGAGAUGUAGAAGGAACCAACUAAUAACCUCUGUUACCUAGAAGUAUAACAUGCUUUAUCACAACGCUCGAAUAUAUGAAAAAGUCAAAUUUCAUUUUAUAAUGUAACAAUUCUGUCAUUGUUUUCCAACUUUUUUAUAUUUUGUAUAUAACUUUUUGCAUUAAAAUAUUCAUUUUUAAACACAUCUGGUCGACGACGUCAUACUUUACUUCUCUUUAAGACACAAUGCAUGCCGAGCACAUCUGCUGAGGUUAAUUAAAUAUGAGUCAGGAGAAAUUAUUUCCCUCGUGUCCCCCGUACCCUGCAAGGUGAAUCAUUAACAUUGCCAACCCAAUUUAGUCCAUCGUUUAAGCAGCUGAUAAAUUGUACUUUUGUGAUAAGAGAUAGAUGGCCACAAAUUAAUGUAAGACUAAUUAUCAAUUAGA